AGGAUGAACGCUAGCGGCAGGCCUAAUACAUGCAAGUCGAACGAGCCUGGAGACUUCGGUUUCCAGGUUAGUGGCGCACGGGUGCGUAACGCGUAUGCAACCUACCUCUCACUGGGGGAUAGCCCGAGGAAACUCGGAUUAAUACCGCAUAAGAUAGUGACCUGGCAUCAGGUUGUUAUUAAAGCUUUGGCGGUGGGAGAUGGGCAUGCGUGCCAUUAGCUAGUUGGUAGUGUAACGGACUACCAAGGCUUCGAUGGCUAGGGGCUCUGAGAGGACGGUCCCCCACACUGGUACUGAGACACGGCCCAGACUCCUACGGGAGGCAGCAGUGGGGAAUCUUGCGCAAUGGGCGAAAGCCUGACGCAGCGAUGCCGCGUGCGGGAUGAAGGCCUUCGGGUUGUAAACCGCUCUCAGCAGGGACGAAUUGACGGUACCUGCAGAAGAACGCCCCGGCCAACUACGUGCCAGCAGCCGC
rnacentral:rRNA from 1 species